rnacentral:tRNA from 1 species
UCUAAUUUGGCAGAAUAGUGCAUUGGAUUUAAACCCCAAAUAUAAAAUAAUUUUAUUUAGAA